rnacentral:rRNA from 2 species
CAAGGUUGACCUCAGAUCAGGUAGGAAUACCCGCUGAACUUAAGCAUAUCAAUAAGCGGAGGAAAAGAAACAACAGGGAUUGCCUCAGUAACGGCGAGUGAAGCGGCAACAGCUCAAAUUUGAAAUCUGGCCCCAGGCCCGAGUUGUAAUUUGCAGAGGAUGCUUUUGGCGCGGUGCCUUCCAAGUUCCCUGGAACGGGACGCCACAGAGGGUGAGAGCCCCGUCAGGUUGUGCAACCAAGCCUUUGUAAAGCUCCUUCGACGAGUCGAGUAGUUUGGGAAUGCUGCUCUAAAUGGGAGGUAUAUGUCUUCUAAAGCUAAAUACCGGCCAGAGACCGAUAGCGCACAAGUAGAGUGAUCGAAAGAUGAAAAGCACUUUGAAAAGAGAGUUAAAAAGCACGUGAAAUUGUUGAAAGGGAAGCGUUCAUGACCAGACUUGGGCCCGGUUGAUCAUCCAGCGUUCUCGCUGGUGCACUCUGCCGGCCCAGGCCAGCAUCAGUUCGCUCCGGGGGACAAAGGUUCAGGGAAUGUGACUCCCCACGGGGAGUGUUAUAGCCCUGUUCAAAUGCCCUGGGGUGGACUGAGGUCCGCGCAUUGCAAGGAUGCUGGCGUAAUGGUCAUCAACGACCCGUCUUGAAACACGGACCAAGGAGUCGUCUUCGUAUGCGAGUGUUCGGGUGUAAAACCCUGGCGCGUAAUGAAAGUGAACGCAGGUGAGAGCUUCGGCGCAUCAUCGACCGAUCCUGAUGUUCUCGGAUGGAUUUGAGUAAGAGCAUACGGGGCCGGACCCGAAAGAAGGUGAACUAUGCCUGUAUAGGGUGAAGCCAGAGGAAACUCUGGUGGAGGCUCGCAGCGGUUCUGACGUGCAAAUCGAUCGUCAAAUAUGGGCAUGGGGGCGAAAGACUAAUCGAACCUUCUAGUAGCUGUUU